UUUCCGUAGGUGGACCUGCGGAAGGAUCAUUAUUGGAUUUUGAAACUUCAGGCUGCUGCUGGCUCUCCUCGGAGGGCAUGUGCACGCUUGUUGUCCAUUAUUUCUCCCACUGUGCACAAAUUGUAGACCUUUCAGUAGGCCUAUGUUGUUUUUCACAAUCUCUGAAUGUAAUAGAAUGGUUUUGAAUCUUGGGAAAUACAAUACAACUUUCAGCAACGGAUCUCUUGGCUCUC
rnacentral:misc_RNA from 1 species